AGGUGAGCAAAUGAAUAGAGGAAUGUAGCGGGGUUGCGGGGGGAGACUGGUGGUACAGGAAAGGAGGGAAACAAACUGGAUGUACUCAGAUCUGUAAUUCUCACAAAGGGCCAAAUAACCCUAGGAAAGGUGAAAUGAAAUGUUCUUGCCCAACACUAUCAUGACAAUGUUAGCUCAUGCCUGGAUAGAACCAUGGACUUUUCCUGUUUUCUGUGACUCAUUUCUAUUUGUCUUCUCAUUUGGAGAAUAUUCAAGGACUACCUCAAUUCCUCAUUCAAUAAUCUUCGAGUCUUCUCACACGCAGCAGUCCACAUACUACCCCAUGCGGAUGAAGGAAUGCUCUGGAUGAAAUUUACACCACCACAGUCUGGAGACAAAGUUCCCCCGAGCUUUAUUCAUCGUGGUGGCCAGCCUCAAGAGGGUGCUGCCAAGGUACCAUGCACACAUCUCCUGACCCACCAGAGGACCGAACAUCCUGGACCACUGCUAUGCAACCAUCAAAGACGCCUAUCGCUCUAUCCCCGGUCCACACUUUGGAAAAUCGGACCGCAGCGCUGUGUUCCUCCUCCAGGCUAGCAAUCAGAAGCCGAAACGGGAGGAUCCUUCACAGAAAGAAAUACAUUGCUGGCCUGAGGUAGCAAGAGAGCUUCUCUAGGUCUGCUCGGCAAUAGUGGACUAGACCAUAUUCAAGUACUCAGUGGAAAACUGAGAUGAGUCACAGACUUCAUCAGUAAGUGGCAUAGAGGACUGUGUGCCAAAGAAAUCAACCUGGGUGUGCCCCAACCAGAAACAUCUGGACACCUACAUUAGACUCCUGAUCAUCAACUACAGCUCCGCCUUCAACACCAUUAUCUCCUCCAGACUGAUCUCAAAACUCCAAGACCUAGAUUUCAGCUCUGUCCUCUGUAACUAGAUUGUCAGCUUCCUGAUCCAUAGACCACAACCAGUGAAAAUAGACAACUACACUUGCUCCUGAUGAAGGGCCUAGGCCCGAAACGUCAGCUUGUGUGCUCCUAACAUGCUGCUCGGUCUGCUGUGUUCAUCCAGCUCCACACUUUGUUAUCUGCAGCUGCUCCUUGAUAACACUCAACACUGGAGCUGCGCCAAGGAUGUGUUCUCACCUGCCUACUGUACUUGCCGUACACCCACGACUGUGUAGCCAAAUUUUGAAUGAACACUAUCUACUUGUUUGCUGACAACAUCACCGUGGUAGGACGGAUAUCAAACAACAACGAAUCAAAAUACAGGAAGGAGAUAGAGUGCUUGGUGUCAUGUGCAAUGACAACAAACUCUCAAUGUUGGCAAAACAAAAGAAUGGACCAUUGACUUCAGAAGGAAAGGAGGAGAACAAGCCCCCAUCUACAUCAACCGACCUGAGGAGGAGAGGGUGGAGAGCUUCAAGUUCCUAGGUGUGACGAUAAUGGGACAACCUGUCCUGGACUUCCCAUGUAGGUGCGAUGGUUGAGAAGGCACAACAAUGCCUCUUCUUCCUUAGGCUGUUAGGAAAUUCGACAUGUCCCUAAGGACCCUCACCAACCUUUACAAAUGCUCCAUAGGAAACAUACUGUCCAGGUGCAUAACAGCCUGUUAGUGAAACUGCCCUGCUCAGGACCAUAAGAAACUAUAGAAUAUUGUGUGCAUAGCCCAGACCAUCAUGGAAGCCAACCUUCCAUUCAUGGACUCCAUUUAUACCUCUCGGAAAAGCUGCCAACAUCAGCAAAGACACCUCCCACCCCAGUAUUACUCUCCUCCAAACUCUUCCUAAAAAGAAGAUACAGAAGCUUGAACACAUGCACCACUGGGUUCAAGAACAGCUUCUUCCCUGCCAUUUUUAGACCGAAGAAUGGACCCCUCUAACUUCAAAUAAUGUUGAUCUUGUUCAUGUUGAUCUUGCCUAGCGCACUACCUGUGCAGUGUAACCUGUAUGCCUCACUUUGUCUAAGCACCCUAUGAUCUGUAUGUCCUUGUUACUAUGAUCUGCCUGUACUGGUCACAAAACAAAGCUUUUCACUGUACUUAAGUACAUGUGGCAAUAAAUCAAAUAAAAUCAAAUCAAAUUG